ACGAACGCUGGCGGCGUGCUUAACACAUGCAAGUCGAACGGAAAGGCCCUGCUUUUGUGGGGUGCUCGAGUGGCGAACGGGUGAGUAACACGUGAGUAACCUGCCCUUGACUUUGGGAUAACUUCAGGAAACUGGGGCUAAUACCGGAUAGGAGCUCCUGCUGCAUGGUGGGGGUUGGAAAGUUUCGGCGGUUGGGGAUGGAUUCGCGGCUUAUCAGCUUGUUGGUGGGGUAGUGGCUUACCAAGGCUUUGACGGGUAGCCGGCCUGAGAGGGUGACCGGCCACAUUGGGACUGAGAUACGGCCCAGACCCCUACGGGAGGCAGCAGUGGGGAAUAUUGCACAAUGGGCGGAAGCCUGAUGCAGCAACGCCGCGUGCGGGAUGACGGCCUUCGGGUUGUAAACCGCUUUCGCCUGUGACGAAGCGUGAGUGACGGUAAUGGGUAAAGAAGCACCGGCUAACUACGUG
rnacentral:rRNA from 1 species